GACGAACGCUGGCGGCGUGCUUAACACAUGCAAGUCGAGCGAUGAAGCUCCUUCGGGAGUGGAUUAGCGGCGGACGGGUGAGUAACACGUGGGUAACCUGCCUCAUAGAGGGGAAUAGCCUUCCGAAAGGAAGAUUAAUACCGCAUAAGAUUGUAGUGCUGCAUGGUAUAGCAAUUAAAGGAGCAAUCCGCUAUGAGAUGGACCCGCGUCGCAUUAGCUAGUUGGUGAGGUAACGGCUGACCAAGGCGACGAUGCGUAGCCGAACUGAGAGGGUGAUCGGCCACGUUGGAACUAAGAAACGGCCCAGACUCCUACUGGAGGCAGAAGUGGGGAAUAUUGCACAAUGGGGGAAACCCUGAUGCAGCAACGCCGCGUGAGUGAUGACGGUCUUCGGAUUGCAAAGCUCUGUCUUCAGGGACGAUAAUGACGGUACCUGAGGAGGAAGCCACGGCUAACUACGUGCCAGCCGCCGCCGUAA
rnacentral:rRNA from 1 species